GUUGGCAGCAUUCUAGUCUUGUUAAGUUGGCCACUCUUACCGACUGUCUUCUGUCUGUCUUUCUGUCUGUUGCGCGUUGCGCGCGCUCUCGGCGCUCUUGUCUUUGUUUAUAUUUUCCUUUAGCUCAAACUUUGUUGUGUAUCUGUGCCUGGUCACAAGAAUAAUAGAUGGAAGUGCAACACAGUUUAAACUCCAGUGAUCUCUUCAACAAGGAAUAAAAAGAGAAACUCGGCCUCCAAUUAUGAUUCCGAAUUCCACUUCUUGUUAAAACUAAGGCGCAUCAGCUACAGAACAUUAUAAUAUGAUUCCUCUGGGCUCUUAUUUGUUCUCAAAGUCUGCAACGCAAUAUAAUGCGAGUGAUCUAGAUGUGGGAUGAAACUUGGACUACGAUUGAGACUCUUGAACUCCAGAUUUCCUUUUUAGUUGCUCGUCUCAGCUACUGCACACUAUUUUUGUUUUGUACUCUGACAUUGUCCACGCGUCUGAAAUUUUUGAACAUCUUAAGUGAUCCAUAUUAUUAUGAUUCAAGGGACCAAGAUGUGGGAUGAAACUUGGCCUUCGAUAGAGAUUCUGAACUCCAGAUUUUACUUUUAGUGGCUCGUCACAACUAAUGCUGUUUGUUUUGAACUCUGACGCUGUCCAAGAAUCUACAACUCCAG